rnacentral:rRNA from 1 species
CCUACGGGAGGCAGCAGUGGGGAAUAUUGGUCAAUGGACGCAAGUCUGACCCAGCAACGCCGCGUGAAGGAAGACGGCUUUCUGGUUGUAAACUUCUUUUUACAGGGGAGUGUAGCACACUGUACCUGCCGUAUCAUCCACAGCUAACUACUUGCCAUCGGCCGCGGUCAUACGUAGGUGGCAAGCGUUUUCCGGAUUUCCUGGGUGUAAAGGGCGUGUUGCCGGGUUGCUAAGUCAGGUGUGAAAUCCUGCGGCUUAACCGCAGAACUGCAUUUGAAACUGGUGAUCUUGAGUACUGGAGAGGCAGACGGAAUUCCUAGUGUAGCGGUGAAAUGCGUAGAUAUCAGGAGGAACACCAGUGGCGAAGGCGGUCUGCCGGACAGAGACUGACGGUGAGGCGCGAAAGUGUGGGUAGCAAACAGGAUUAGAUACCCUAGUAGUC